rnacentral:rRNA from 1 species
GAUGAACGCUGGCGGUAUGCCUAACACAUGCAAGUCGAACGAGCUCUUCGGAGCUAGUGGCGGACGGGUGAGUAACGCGUGAGAAUCUGCCUUCAGGAUGGAGACAACAGUUGGAAACGAUUGCUAAAACCCAAUGUGCCGCAAGGUGAAAUAUUAAUAGCCUGAAGAGGAGCUCGCGUCCGAUUAGUUAGUUGGUGGGGUAAAGGCCUACCAAGGCAGCGAUCGGUAGCUGGUCUGAGAGGAUGAGCAGCCACACUGGGACUGAGACACGGCCCAGACUCCUACGGGAGGCAGCAGUGGGGAAUUUUCCGCAAUGGGCGAAAGCCUGACGGAGCAAUACCGCGUGAGGGAGGAAGGUUUUUGGAUUGUAAACCUCUUUUGUUAAGGAAGAAGAAAGUGACGGUACUUAACGAAUAAGCAUCGGCUAACUCCGUGCCAGCAGCCGCCGUAA